rnacentral:sRNA from 1 species
UUCUAGCCCUGAUUGCAGUGGAAAUCCUUUUUGUUGGCUUAGCUUGUCGAAGCCAUAAAAAAGAUUGUAACGAAAAGCAGGACUGAAA